AGUGAACGCUGGCGGUAGGCCUAACACAUGCAAGUCGAACGGCAGCACAGUAAGAGCUUGCUCUUACGGGUGGCGAGUGGCGGACGGGUGAGGAAUACAUCGGAAUCUACUUUUUCGUGGGGGAUAACGUAGGGAAACUUACGCUAAUACCGCAUACGACCUACGGGUGAAAGCAGGGGAUCUUCGGACCUUGCGCGAUUGAAUGAGCCGAUGUCGGAUUAGCUAGUUGGCGGGGUAAAGGCCCACCAAGGCGACGAUCCGUAGCUGGUCUGAGAGGAUGGUCAGCCACACUGGAACUGAGACAGGGUCCAGACUCCUACGGGAGGCAGCAGUGGGGAAUAUUGGACAAUGGGGGAAAGCCUGAUCCAGCCAUACCGCGUGGGUGAAGAAGGCCUUCGGGUUGUAAAGCCCUUUUGUUGGGAAAGAAAAGCAGCAGGUUAAUACCCCGCUGUUCUGACGGUACCCAAAGAAUAAGCACCGGCUAACUUCGUG
rnacentral:rRNA from 1 species